UGGGGAAUAUUGCACAAUGGGGGAAACCCUGAUGCAGCGACGCCGCGUGAAGGAAGAAGUAUCUCGGUAUGUAAACUUCUAUCAGCAGGGAAGAUAGUGACGGUACCUGACUAAGAAGCCCCGGCUAACUACGUGCCAGCACCGCGGUAAUAGCACUGU
rnacentral:rRNA from 1 species